UGUUCUGUAGCUUAGUUGGUUAAAGCGCCGGACUAGCGAUAACGGAGUCGUGGGUUGGAAUGCCACCAAAACAA
rnacentral:tRNA from 1 species